UGGCAAUGCAUUUCCAGUGGAGACAGAACACUUCUCACUAUUAAUAAAGAAACCAUGGGGUUAACUGUGUAACAAAGAGUUGAUGAAACAGAAGACAAGUCCACUAGCACGACGUUAGCUCACAUCCUACGUUACAUUUGACUGAUGACAAACAUGUAAAGUACAACCUUGAGGCACAGGUAAGCAUCCAAUUGAUUGUGCAUUCUAGUUGCUUCCAAAGCAACACCCUAUAGCCACUUUCACACUCAUUACAAGACUCCAAAAAAGAAGGAGGCAGUAAGAGAUUAGUAGCCGCCACUUUGCCAUAGCUGUUGAAACUGCUUUGGCUGGCCUUGAGAUCCACCACCCAAUGACCCAUCCCUCGGAUUUUGUUGUUGAUGUUCUAAUGAGAUCCCCGCCUGAGAAUGGUAGAAAUUUGGGUACCCCAAGGAUCCAUGAUUUUGCAGCGGCUGUUGAGCUUGCCUAAAUCCACUACUUUGCUGGUUUUGACCUUGAAAACCAUAAUAUGUGUUAGCAGGAACAGCUGACAUUGUCCUUGAACCGGGUCCAUGCCACAUAGCUGAGUUCUCGCUCUGCUGAAGAGACAUUAAAUGAUUGGUAUCCUUGUACUGAGAGCUCAACACAUCAUCGUAACUCAAGUUAGUACCAGAGGGAGCAGCAGGGGGAUUCAUUGGGAAGUUACCAGGGAUACUUGCUGUAUUUCCAAAACCACCAUACGCAGAAGCAACACUGGCUGGCUGAGGUAAGCUGCUGACUGACACACUGUUCUUAUAUUGGGGAAGCACCGCCGCCAGUGACUGAUGAUAAUUACUGUUACCAGCAAAUGGUUGCUGGAAUGCAGAUGGCAUAUAUGUAUAACUCUGAGGCAAAAAGGGAUAACCUAUCAUGUUAGCAAAUGGUCCCAGAGGUGGUUGGUUAUAUGGAUGCACAGCAAGAUGUUGCGGCACAGUAGGUCCAGUGGUGACACUAGUUCCAGAAAGUGGCUGCUGUGUAGGCUGUGCUGAUGGAAAACCAGCACCCUUCAAAGACUCAGGCAUGGAAAUUGUUGAACCACCAAUUGAAGAAACAGAGCUGCCAUAUUUCAUAGCCAUUGCUUGUGUUGCAGAAAAAGGUAAGUAUGAAAGAUCAGUUUCACGACCAGCAUGAGCAUUAGCAGCCAACAAGGUGCUAGGCAAUGAAUUUGUGAAAGCCAUUACAUUAGAGAAAGGAGUGAGAUUUUGCAUCUGGGAACUUGUCUGUGGCUGACUAAAUGCUGCAGUUAAUUGUUGUGCACUUUCAUAUGUGUAGCCAGCAGCAGAAGAGGGAUACGAAUAUAGAUUUCCUUGUUCAUUUGUUUCUG
rnacentral:misc_RNA from 1 species